GAUGAACGCUAGCUACAGGCUUAACACAUGCAAGUCGAGGGGAAACGAUGUUGGAAGCUUGCUUCCGAUAGGCGUCGACCGGCGCACGGGUGAGUAACGCGUAUCCAACCUGCCCAUCACUUGGGAAUAACCUUGCGAAAGUAAGACUAAUGCCCAAUGACAUUUAUAGAAGGCAUCUGAAAUGAAUUAAAGAUUUAUCGGUGAUGGAUGGGGAUGCGUCUGAUUAGCUUGUUGGCGGGGUAACGGCCCACCAAGGCGACGAUCAGUAGGGGUUCUGAGAGGAAGGUCCCCCACAUUGGAACUGAGACACGGUCCAAACUCCUACGGGAGGCAGCAGUGAGGAAUAUUGGUCAAUGGACGGGAGUCUGAACCAGCCAAGUAGCGUGCAGGACGACGGCCCUAUGGGUUGUAAACUGCUUUUAUAGGGGGAUAAAGUGUGCCACGUGUGGCAUAUUGCAGGUACCCUAUGAAUAAGGACCGGCUAAUUCCGUGCCAGCAGCCGACGG
rnacentral:rRNA from 1 species